GAUGAACGCUGGCGGCGUGCCUAAUACAUGCAAGUCGAGCGAACGGACGUGCAUCUUCCUUCUCUUUUGUUAGCGGCGGACGGGUGAGUAAUACGUGGAUAACCUAUCUUUUACACUCGGAUAACUUCUGGAAACCGGAGCUAAUACCUGAUAAUAUUUUGAACUGCAUGGUUCAACAGUGAAAGACGGUCUUGCUGUUACUUGUAGAUGGUGCCGAGCUGCAUUAUCUAGUUGGUAAGGUAACGGCUUACCAAGGCAACGAUGCAGAGCCGACCUGAGAGGGUGAUCGGCGACACUGAAACUGAGACACGGUCCAGACUCCUACGGGAGGCAGCAGUAGGGAAGCUUCCGCAAGGGGCGAAAGCCGGACGGAGCAACGCCGAGUGAGUGAUGAAGGUCUUCGGAUCGUAAAACUAUGUUAUUAGGGAAGAACAGAAGUGUAAGUAACUGUGCACAUCUUGACGGUAGCUAAACAGAAAGCCACGGCUAACUACGUG
rnacentral:rRNA from 1 species